GUGAGGGGGAUGAUGUAGACUCUCUCCAGGGAGCUGAUACAGAUGCUGAUUCCAGAGCCAUGGCACACAGAGUUCCAGAUGGACUCCAGGCUGCCUGAUGAGCCCAGAGAAGAGAAUGCACUGGCAGGAGCUAUGCCACCUGAGGACCCCAGAGACCUAGGGGAACCAUGGAGUAUUGCAAAGGGAGAAAGGGUAGGAAGCAGCUCAAGGGACUUACUCUUCUCUGGUUCCAGCCAGUUCCUUACCAACCCAUUUACUGCAGCCCUGACACCAAGGUGACAUCCACACUUCAAGUCCUGAGCUGCCCCCAUGAGCAGACUUAACCCUUAUUCCUCCAUGAGCAAUGUGCAAUACAGAGAAACUGAUGCACACAGGACUCAUAAAAAUAUUACAGAAAACUCCCACUUUGUCACACCAUGUUAGGUCUGCGAUUUUGCUAUUCACCAUCAUUAAUAUUUUCUUCAGUAGUAUUGAAAUAACCAUGUAUUUAUUUCACACAUUGUCAUCAGCCAUUUACAGUGGUCCUUAUUGUAGGACAAAUCAGUUUCACUCAACAUUUCCUAAAGCCUAGUUUUGACUCUGCCAUGAAUACUAAGGCACCAUGAAAUUCACACCUUCAAGAUAUGUAUUUUAAAAUGAGAGAAAAAAAGAGCUGCCCUUUUCUCUUUCUUCGAAACAAUCUGCAGAUUGUCUACUUUUGGCUGAAUCAAUGCAGAGGGAAAACUAGUAUAUAAUAUUUCAUUAGAUUUUCCAUAAGUAUUUUACCUCUAACAGAAAUUUUAAUUAUCAUUGACAUUUCAUGUCUUAGCAAUAGGGUCUGGUGCAUAAUACAAUAACAAAAUACAAAUAUAAAUAGAAUAGACACAACACUUCAUAAAUAUAAGAUGUUCAUAAGAUCUUUGUUAAUAUAUACAUCAAGAAAAAGUGUGUGAGGCUCAGGAAAGGAGUUGAGG